GCCUGCAUGGCUGAGUUGGUUAAGUGUCUGACUUAGGCUCAGGUCAUGAUCACGAAGUUCGUGGGUUCAAGCCCCACGUUGGGCU
rnacentral:tRNA from 1 species